GAAAUGCGAUAAGUAAUGUGAAUUGCAGAAUUCCGUGAAUCAUCGAAUCUUUGAACGCACAUUGCGCCCGCCAGUAUUCUGGCGGGCAUGCCUGUCCGAGCGUCAUUUCAACCCUCAAGCCCAGCUUGGUGUUGGGGAUCGGCCUGCCCCCCGUGGGCGGGCCGGCCCCGAAUUCUAGUGGCGGUCCCGCCGUAGCUUCCUCUGCGUAGUAGCAAUAUCUCGCACCGGAGGCUCGACGAGGCCACGCCGUUAAACCCCCCACUUCUGAAAGGUUGACCUCGGAUCAGGUAGGAAUACCCGCUGAACUUAA
rnacentral:misc_RNA from 1 species